rnacentral:lncRNA from 1 species
AAAAAAAUGUUUUGGAAUUAAAAUAAAAAUGAUUGAAAAGAGGUUUUAUGAGAAGAUUAGAAGGGUGCUAAUAAUCCAACUCUUUCUUUCAUUAGUCAUUUGAAUUUAAAUUUUAGAAUAGGAGACUAUUAGAUUUACGAUUUGUCUACCCUCCAAUCUUUUAAAUGGGGGAGGGGGGGGGGGGAANNNNNNNNNNNNNNNNGGGGGGGGGGGGGGGGGGAAUAACUCAGGUAAUAAGAAUGCAGUCUCUUUAAAGCGAAAGAUCUUGGGUUCAGCCCUGUGGAAAAUCCAAUGAUCCUCUCAUUUAAAACAGGGGGAAAAAUAUAUAUAUGCGAGCAACCAUGGAGACUAAAUAAAAUACCAGUCGUAAAUUAUUCCACAUUUUACAUAUGAAAAGGUAUUGCACAUAUGUCAAAAGAAAUUAAAUGUAUUUGUUGAUUUUCGAGCAAGAAUCAACAUUAAAAACUUGUAAAUCCGAAUUUAAACGCAUACAUGGAUUAUAUGCGGAAAACUGAUAAACCAAUGUUGUGCUACUGAUUUAUGGUCGGAGGAUGAUCACAAAGUCAGAAAAUCCUCUCUAUUCACGUUGCAAGAACCCUCUAAGCUUCUCUUGACUUGAAUUUUCUCCAAAUUACACUUUGCUUAUUUUUUGCUUAACCUCUAUUAUCUAUGGAUUUGCACUCUAUUUAUAGCAUUCCAAGAGUAGUGAUCAUCUUCUCAAUGAUUACUAAAUAAGCUUAAACAAUUGUUGGAGUGAUCAUCUUCUUAAUGAUCACUUAAUAUCUUUCUCUAUAAUAUUGUAAGAUAUUAUAGAGUUCUAACUCAAAAUGAUCACUUGCUCUU